rnacentral:lncRNA from 1 species
AUCCAAACAUCUUCUCUGAAUGGAAAUCUGUCAUCAUGAGUUAACCAUAAAUGCAUGUUAGGUUAUGCUGCUGUCUUCCCCACAACCUGCUCAGCUGUCUGGUAUAAUGCCCAGUGCUGAAGACAGGUUCCAUACAACGCUACUACUUGAGAGCAGGUAUAACAUGGACCAACAAUGGGACACAAUGGUCAUUAACUUCCUACUUUUCCUACAAACCUCAUCUAAAGGACGCAGUGAGGGAAAGAUAAUUCACAGCUGGGAUACCUUUGAUUUCCUCAGCUGCCACUUCAUAUCAGAAAAUCUUAAGAAUCAGUUUGCAGGAACCAUCUGUCAUGUCCCCACCCCCACAGCACUGAGGAAGACAGAUACUGAAGCCCACCUGUUAGUCCUGUUAUUCUCGUCUAGAAAAGAAUUUACAGUAAGUCUCUGCUUCAAUCAGUUUCCAUGGUAACUUGGUCCUGUUUUUAAACCUUUACAUAAAAAUGGCUUGGUUAAAAUGAUAAUGCUGGAAUGCUUGCCCAUACCUGAACUACACCUUUUCCAUUACUCAACAGUAUUCAAUUAGGGGUGUCCCUCCAUCUGCUCCAGUUCCUUUAGCUCCUACAAUACCGUCUCACUAACCAAAUCAGAUCAGUUUCUUUACCAUCUGACUAUCUCACUUUUCAGAGACACACAGGAUUUGGGGUACUGACACAAAGCAUGCUGUGAAGUACAGAGUAAAGCAUGUUAGGGGCUGGAUUCUUGAGUUCACUGGGGAGGGUCCCUCUAGGUGCAGUGGGGCCAAAAGCUCCAAGUAGAGGUAUCUCUUUAAAAAAUGAACCAGAAGAGGUACAAGGGCCCCCACCUAAGAAAACUGUUUUCACAAAGGUAAAAAAAAAAUUCCCCUUCCAUGAAGAUCAAGGGGAAAUAAAAGUUCAGAAAAGCAAAUGAAAAUUGUAAUU